rnacentral:rRNA from 1 species
AUUGAACGCUGGCGGCAUGCCUUACACAUGCAAGUCGAACGGCAGCACGGAGCUUGCUCUGGUGGCGAGUGGCGAACGGGUGAGUAAUAUAUCGGAACGUACCCUGGAGUGGGGGAUAACGUAGCGAAAGUUACGCUAAUACCGCAUACGAUCUACGGAUGAAAGUGGGGGACCGCCUUGGCGGCCUCAUGCUCCUGGAGCGGCCGAUAUCUGAUUAGCUAGUUGGUGGGGUAAAGGCCUACCAAGGCAUCGAUCAGUAGCUGGUCUGAGAGGACGACCAGCCACACUGGAACUGAGACACGGUCCAGACUCCUACGGGAGGCAGCAGUGGGGAAUUUUGGACAAUGGGCGCAAGCCUGAUCCAGCAAUGCCGCGUGAGUGAAGAAGGCCUUCGGGUUGUAAAGCUCUUUUGUCAGGGAAGAAACGGGGUUGGCUAAUAUCUGGCCCUAAUGACGGUACCUGAAGAAUAAGCACCGGCUAACUACGUGCCAGCCGCCGCCGUAACAC